rnacentral:rRNA from 1 species
GCAGUCGAACGAUGAACCGCUUUCGGGCGGGGAUUAGUGGCGAACGGGUGAGUAACACGUGGGCAAUCUGCCCUGCACUCUGGGACAAGCCCUGGAAACGGGGUCUAAUACCGGAUAUGACUGUCCAUCGCAUGGUGGAUGGUGUAAAGCUCCGGCGGUGCAGGAUGAGCCCGCGGCCUAUCAGCUUGUUGGUGAGGUAGUGGCUCACCAAGGCGACGACGGGUAGCCGGCCUGAGAGGGCGACCGGCCACACUGGGACUGAGACACGGCCCAGACUCCUACGGGAGGCAGCAGUGGGGAAUAUUGCACAAUGGGCGAAAGCCUGAUGCAGCGACGCCGCGUGAGGGAUGACGGCCUUCGGGUUGUAAACCUCUUUCAGCAGGGAAGAAGCGAAAGUGACGGUACCUGCAGAAGAAGCGCCGGCUAACUACGUGCCAGCAGCCGCGGUAAUACGUAGGGCGCAAGCGUUGUCCGGAAUUAUUGGGCGUAAAGAGCUCGUAGGCGGCUUGUCACGUCGGUUGUGAAAGCCCGGGGCUUAACCCCGGGUCUGCAGUCGAUACGGGCAGGCUAGAGUUCGGUAGGGGAGAUCGGAAUUCCUGGUGUAGCGGUGAAAUGCGCAGAUAUCAGGAGGAACACCGGUGGCGAAGGCGGAUCUCUGGGCCGAUACUGACGCUGAGGAGCGAAAGCGUGGGGAGCGAACAGGAUUAGAUACCCUGGUAGUCCACGCCGUAAACGGUGGGCACUAGGUGUGGGCAACAUUCCACGUUGUCCGUGCCGCAGCUAACGCAUUAAGUGCCCCGCCUGGGGAGUACGGCCGCAAGGCUAAAACUCAAAGGAAUUGACGGGGGGCCCGCACAAGCGGCGGAGCAUGUGGCUUAAUUUCGACGCAACGCGAGAACCCUUACCAAGGCUUGACAUACACCGGAAACGUCUGGAGACAGACGCCCCCCUUGGUGGUCGGUGUACAGGUGGUGCAUGACUGUCGUCAGCUCGUGUCGUGAGAUGUUGGGUUAAGUCCCGCAACGAGCGCAACCCUUGUCCCGUGUUGCCAGCAGGCCCUUGUGGUGCUGGGGACUCACGGGAGACCGCCGGGGUCAACUCGGAGGAAGGUGGGGACGACGUCAAGUCAUCAUGCCCCUUAUGUCUUGGGCUGCACACGUGCUACAAUGGCCGGUACAAUGAGCUGCGAUACCGCGAGGUGGAGCGAAUCUCAAAAAGCCGGUCUCAGUUCGGAUUGGGGUCUGCAACUCGACCCCAUGAAGUCGGAGUCGCUAGUAAUCGCAGAUCAGCAUUGCUGCGGUGAAUACGUUCCCGGGCCUUGUACACACCGCCCGUCACGUCACGAAAGUCGGUAACACCCGAAGCCGGUGGC